ACCCAUCAAAGGAUUGAAAUGGAGUCACUCAGUCGAUCCGCUGUGAUCUGUAGCAUCUCAAGGACUCCUCAAGGGCCUUCUCCUCCCAACUCGCUGCCUUCGACGUCGACAUUCAAGCCACUUUUGCAAAGGUUGAAGCCCUUGCCUCUGAAGGUUGAAGUCCCAAGCAAUUAAAAGCUGCAUCUUUGAACCUUUUGGACUCGAUCGUGGAAACCGUCUUCAGAUUCGAAAAAGAACCUUUAUUCAGCACGGGGAACUUUGCGCCCGUGGCUGAAAUAGGAGAAGCAGCCCAGGUUUCAGCCAUAGAAGGAGGCAUUCCGGAGGGCUUCCCCCAAGGCAUAUACUUGAGAAAUGGCCCCAAUCAUGUGUACCCAGAUCUGACCGCCGCAGUCUCGGUAUUUGGAAGAACAGCCUACACAAUUGUUGAAGGUGAUGGAAUGAUUCACGCGACGUAUUUCAGCAAGGAUGGAGAAGGGAACUGGAACGUUUCGUACAAAAAUAAGUACGUAGAGACAGAAAGUUUCCUGCUGGAGAAGAACCGAAAGAAGAAACUCUUCCUUCCUACAAUUACUGGUGACCCCUCCGCAGUGUUGGCUUCUUUUUACACCAACAUGGUACAUGGACGAUAAAUCCUUAGCUUGCUUCAGAUGGCCAGUUAAUUUAGGGCAUUUAAGUGUCGAGUAUUUGUUUCCAAUGCAUUAGGUGAAGUGUGGCCAACCAGUGAAGUUCGAAGCCAACACCAGUGUUUUUGAGCAUGCUGGAAAACUAUAUGCAAUAUCAGAGCAGAAUCUGCCUUAUGAAGUCGAUCCUUCUAAUCUAGAUACUCUCAAAUCCUGGGAUGUCAAUGGCACUUGGGACCGACCUUUCACUAGUCAUCCGAAGAGAGUCCCACAUACUGGGGAGUUGGUUAUCAUAGCUGAUGGAACAAAGAUGCUUCACAAAGUCGACCUGAAAUUUAAAACUGGGGUUCUAGUUCAUGAGCUUGGCGUGACUGAGAACUACAAUAUCUUCAUGGAUUACCCACUGGAAAUUGGCAUUAAUAGAGCUCUUGCGGGAAACCGUUCAUUGGCUAUGAGCAAAAUGAAGAAUCUAAGAUAGGGGUCAUGCCUCGUUUUGGCAAUGCAGAAUCAGUUUCUUGGUUCAGAGUUAAAAAUCACUGCAGUUUCCAUAUCAUCAAUACCUUCGAGGAUGGUGAUGAGGUAAAACUAGGUCCCUAAUCAAGUGCCUUACGGUUUUCACGGUACUUAUAAAUACAUGUAAACGUUGAAUUUUAAGUCGUGUUGUGAUCAAAUGGUUGCACUGUGACUCUCUCUGCGCAGCGUUAUAAUGAAUUUUAAGCUUUUUUUGGUUUAACUCUGAAA